rnacentral:rRNA from 1 species
UACGUAGGGUGCAAGCGUUAAUCGGAAUUACUGGGCGUAAAGCGUGCGCAGGCGGUGAUGUAAGACAGAUGUGAAAUCCCCGGGCUCAACCUGGGAACUGCAUUUGUGACUGCAUCGCUGGAGUACGGCAGAGGGGGAUGGAAUUCCGCGUGUAGCAGUGAAAUGCGUAGAUAUGCGGAGGAACACCGAUGGCGAAGGCAGCCCCCUGGGCUGACACUGACGCUCAGGCACGAAAGCGUGGGGAGCAAACAGG